rnacentral:rRNA from 1 species
CCUACGGGUGGCAGCAGUGGGGAAUAUUGCACAAUGGAGGGAACUCUGAUGCAGCGACGCCGCGUGAGUGAAGAAGUAAUUCGUUAUGUAAAGCUCUAUCAGCAGGGAAGAAGCAAGACGGUACCUGACUAAGAAGCCCCGGCUAACUACGUGCCAGCAGCCGCGGUAAUACGUAGGGGGCAAGCGUUAUCCGGAUUUACUGGGUGUAAAGGGAGCGUAGACGGUAUGGCAAGUCUGAAGUGAAAGCCCAGGGCUUAACCCUGGGACUGCUUUGGAAACUGUUAGACUAGAGUGCUGGAGAGGUAAGUGGAAUUCCUAGUGUAGCGGUGAAAUGCGUAGAUAUGAGGAGGAACACCAGUGGCGAAGGCGGCUUACUGGACAGUAACUGACGUUGAGGCUCGAAAGCGUGGGGAGCAAACAGGAUUAGAUACCCCUGUAGUC